rnacentral:rRNA from 1 species
CUACGGGGCGCUCCAGUGAGGAAUAUUGCACAAUGGGGGGAACCCUGAUGCAGCAACGCCGCGUGGAGGAUGACGCAUUUCGGUGUGUAAACUCCUUUUAUAUGUCAAGAAAAUGACGGUAGCAUAUGAAUAAGCACCGGCUAACUCCGUGCCAGCAGCCGCGGUAGUACGGAGGGUGCAAGCGUUACUCGGAAUCACUGGGCGUAAAGGACGCGUAGGCGGGUUGGAAAGUCAGGUGUGAAAUCCUACAGCUUAACUGUAGAACUGCACUUGAAACUUCUAAUCUAGAGUAUGGGAGGGGGGGAUGGAAUUAGUGGUGUAGGGGUAAAAUCCGUAGAUAUCACUAGGAAUACCUAAAGCGAAGGCGAUCUCCUGGAACAUUACUGACGCUAAGGCGUGAAAGCGUGGGGAGCAAACAGGAUUAGAUACCCCGGUAGUC